rnacentral:rRNA from 1 species
CCUACGGGAGGCAGCAGUAGGGAAUCUUAGACAAUGGGGGCAACCCUGAUCUAGCCAUGCCGCGUGUGUGAUGAAGGCCCUAGGGUCGUAAAGCACUUUCGCCAGAGAUGAUAAUGACAGUAUCUGGUAAAGAAACCCCGGCUAACUCCGUGCCAGCAGCCGCGGUAAUACGGAGGGGGUUAGCGUUGUUCGGAAUUACUGGGCGUAAAGCGCACGUAGGCGGAUUAGUAAGUUAGAGGUGAAAUCCCAGGGCUCAACCCUGGAACUGCCUUUAAUACUGCUAGUCUUGAGUUCGAGAGAGGUAUGUGGAAUUCCGAGUGUAGAGGUGAAAUUCGUAGAUAUUCGGAGGAACACCAGUGGCGAAGGCGGCUUACUGGCUCGAUACUGACGAUGAGGUGCGAAAGUGUGGGGAGCAAACAGGAUUAGAUACCCUGGUAGUCCACACCGUAAACGAUGAAUGCCAGACGUCAGCAAGUAUAUAGGUCGGUGUCACACCUAACGGAUUAAGCAUUCCGCAUGGGGAGUCCGGUCGCAAGAUUCAAACUCAAAGCGAAUCGACGG